GAUGAACGCUGGCGGCGUGCCUAAUACAUGCAAGUCGAGCGAACGGACGAGAAGCUUGCUUCUCUGUUGUUAGCGGCGGACGGGAGUAUAACACGUGUAUAACCUACCUAUAAGACUGGGAUAACUUCGGGAAACCGGAGCUAAUACCGGAUAAUAUUUUGAACCGCAUGGUUCAAAAGUGAAAGACGGUCUUGCUGUCAGUUCUAGCUGGAUUCGCGCUGUAUUAGCUAGUUGGUAAGGUAACGGGUUACCAAGGCAACGAUGCAUUGCCGAGAUGAGGGGGGGAUUGCCCACAUGUGAACGGGAACACCGUCAUUACGCCUACGGGAGGCAGCAGAAGGGAAUCUGCGGCAACGGGCGAAAACCUGACGGAGCAGCGCCGCGUGAGUUAUGACGGUCUUCGGAUCGUAAAGCUGUGUUAUGAGGGAAGAACAUAUUUGUAAGUAACUGUGCACAGCGUGACGGUACCUGAUCAGAAAGCCACGGCUAACUACGUG
rnacentral:rRNA from 1 species